rnacentral:rRNA from 1 species
UACGUAGGGGGCAAGCGUUGUCCGGAAUUAUUGGGCGUAAAGAGCGUGUAGGCGGUCCGGUAAGUCAGCUGUGAAAGUCAAGGGCUCAACCCUUGAAUGCCGGUUGAUACUGUCGGGCUAGAGUCCGGAAGAGGCGAGUGGAAUUCCCGGUGUAGCAGUGAAAUGCGUAGAGAUCGGGAGGAACAUCAGUUGCGAAGGCGGCUCUCUGGACCAGUACUGACGCUGAGGCACGAAAGCGUGGGGAGCAAACAGG